AGUUCCUCUGAAAGGAGGAGACGAGACAUAAAAGGGACGGUCUAGCCACAGGACACACAGGCCGUGCUCUACGGGAUCCGUGACUAAAUGCUUCUGCGUACAUGUUUAUAAAGAUUUAUUUUUCCCCACCCCCUCACGCAGGUGUGCCAUGCGAAUCUGUCGCCAGCAGCCGUGUCACGCUCCUCUUACCUUCGGUCAUGCAGAAGACGCGCAGGAAGGCCAGGAGCUGGGCUGAAAUGGGCGGCUCGCUGCAGUGCAGGGCGAAAACGCUCGACCUACGGAGAAUAAAAUAAUUUUAAAAAAAGAUCAAAUAACGACGACGUCGGAGGGAAAGCUGGUCGAAUGAACCCGAGUGCAUCUUGGAGACUCCGUCAGCUAAACCUCAUCGAAAAAGGUCCCGGACAGGCGAAAGCAGAACUUUUUCCAAGCGCAAGGAUCACCGCCUGUAGUUUCUGCAGGUUGUGAUCCUCGCAGGAGAAGACAGAAAAUCAACUUUACAGAUACAUUAGAAAUUCACCGGCAUCAUUUCAGUCCCGCUCUUCCACACCCCACUCACGUAUUCCCGCUCCGUAUAUACGACAACAUCCACUACACUUAUAGAUAGUGAAAAUAGGAGAGGGG